GAUGAACGCUAGCGGCAGGCCUAAUACAUGCAAGUCGAACGAGAUUGAGGAGCUUGCUCUUCAUGAAAGUGGCGCACGGGUGCGUAACGCGUAUGCAACCUACCUUAAUCAGGGGGAUAGCCUCUCGAAAGAGAGAUUAACACCGCAUAACAUUAUUAUAUGGCAUCAUAAGAUAAUCAAAUAUUUAUAGGAUUAAGAUGGGCAUGCGUGACAUUAGUUAGUUGGCGGGGUAACUGCCCACCAAGACGAUGAUGUCUAGGGGAUCUGAGAGGAUGACCCCCCACACUGGUACUGAGACACGGACCAGACUCCUACGGGAGGCAGCAGUAAGGAGUAUUGGUCAAUGGGCGCAAGCCUGAACCAGCCAUGCCGCGUGCAGGAAGACGGCCCUACGGGUUGUAAACUGCUUUUAUACUGGAAUAAACCUACUUACGUGUAAGUAGCUGAAUGUACAGUAAGAAUAAGGAUCGGCUAACUCCGUGCCAGCCGCCGCAGUAA
rnacentral:rRNA from 1 species